UCGGGUGUGGUGUACGGAACACCGCGGGCCUUCUUUUACGGUCGUAGCAAAUUGGCAGCCCGUAGACCGGGGUUCGACUCCCCGCGCCCGAA